GUUAGGGGCAGUUAGGGGAGGUGGGGGUGAGUUGCAUGUGUGGAACUGGGGGAGGCAUUGGUAGAGGUCAGGAGAACUGGGGGAGCAACUGGAGGUACUGGGGGCAACCAAGGACAGGAGGAUAGAGGCAAUUGCCCCCCGGGCAGCUGCAGUGGCCUCCAACACCCACAUUGCCAUCUUAGUCCCAGCUUCUCUGCAAGGUCAGCACCCAGCUGGGGCCAAGGCCUGUCCCCUCUCUGUCCCCAGUACCCUCACUUCACCUUUUGCUGUCUGCCAGCUGCCACACACACCUUUACUCACACCUUGCCAGGAGUAUCUCCAACUGAGAGAUCUCCAAGCCAGGAAAACCCAACCUAGAGUUACAAUGUCCCAUGAAGCCAAAAGCACAGCCUCAGAACGUCAUUACUGCUGCUUUGUGGGAUUGUGCAUUGGAUCCUACAGAAUCCAGCCACUGGGGCACUGGGAGGAGGUUGGAGAUGAGGGAAACAAAAGGCAAGCCCUCACAGAGACACAGUGUAAACACUGAUGCUGGUCCCUGUCCUGGAGUGGAUUUUGGUAUACAGACCCUCAUGGAUCUCCCUGCAGUGCCCACUCCCUGCCCAGACACAGGUUGAGUAGGGAAACCCUGACUCAAGGUCAUGACUUUAGAAAUUCUUAAAUUAUUUUCGGUUUAAGCAAUAUUUUAACAUGAUAACCCUCAUGCGUGCUGUAAAUAAACAGUGCUCUGACAGUGCCUGAAUCCAUGACCUGCACUGGGACAUUAUCACCUCCAUCCCAGCAAGAAGCAGGAGAGCUGGCAGACACAUCCCGGUUGGCAUUUCCUUGUGCGUUGGCCGAGCCCUGGCCGGCAGCAGUGUCCCUGCCCCGCAUGCAAAGGAGGGCUCUAAAAAGCAGCACUGGAGCAGGGAUCAUGCGA